rnacentral:rRNA from 1 species
AUUGAACGCUGGCGGCAGGCCUAAUACAUGCAAGUCGAACGGUAACAUAAGAAAGCUUGCUUUCUUGAUGACGAGUGGCGGACGGGUGAGUAAUAUUUGGGAAGCUACCUGAUAGAGGGGGACAACAGUUGGAAACGACUGCUAAUACCGCAUAAAGCCUGAGGGUGAAAGCAGCAAUGCGCUAUCAGAUGCGCCCAAAUGGGAUUAGCUAGUAGGUGAGGUAAAGGCUCACCUAGGCGACGAUCUCUAGCUGGUCUGAGAGGAUGAUCAGCCACAUUGGGACUGAGACACGGCCCAGACUCCUACGGGAGGCAGCAGUAGGGAAUAUUGCACAAUGGGGGAAACCCUGAUGCAGCCAUGCUGCGUGUGUGAAGAAGGCCUUCGGGUUGUAAAGCACUUUCGGAGGGGAGGAACAAAUGACGUUACCCUCAGAAGAAGCACCGGCUAACUCCGUGCCAGCCGCCGCAGUAA